rnacentral:rRNA from 1 species
GACGAACGCUGGCGGCGUGCCUAAUACAUGCAAGUAGAACGCUGAAGGAGGAGCUUGCUUCUCUGGAUGAGUUGCGAACGGGUGAGUAACGCGUAGGUAACCUGCCUGGUAGCGGGGGAUAACUAUUGGAAACGAUAGCUAAUACCGCAUAAGAGUAGAUGUUGCAUGACAUUUGCUUAAAAGGUGCAAUUGCAUCACUACCAGAUGGACCUGCGUUGUAUUAGCUAGUUGGUGGGGUAACGGCUCACCAAGGCGACGAUACAUAGCCGACCUGAGAGGGUGAUCGGCCACACUGGGACUGAGACACGGCCCAGACUCCUACGGGAGGCAGCAGUAGGGAAUCUUCGGCAAUGGACGGAAGUCUGACCGAGCAACGCCGCGUGAGUGAAGAAGGUUUUCGGAUCGUAAAGCUCUGUUGUAAGAGAAGAACGAGUGUGAGAGUGGAAAGUUCACACUGUGACGGUAUCUUACUAGAAAGGGACGGCUAACUACGUG